UACGUAGGGACCAAGCGUUGUUCGGAUUUACUGGGCGUAAAGGGCGCGUAGGCGGCGUGGUAAGUCACUUGUGAAAUCUCUGAGCUUAACUCAGAACGGCCAAGUGAUACUGCUGUGCUAGAGUGCAGAAGGGGCGAUCGGAAUUCUUGGUGUAGCGGUGAAAUGCGUAGAUAUCAAGAGGAACACCUGAGGUGAAGACGGGUUGCUGGGCUGACACUGACGCUGAGGCGCGAAAGCCAGGGGAGCAAACGGG
rnacentral:rRNA from 1 species